rnacentral:rRNA from 1 species
UGGGGAAUUUUGGACAAUGGGGGCAACCCUGAUCCAGCAAUGCCGCGUGUGUGAAGAAGGCCUGAGGGUUGUAAAGCACUUUAGGUGGGGAGGAAGGCGUAUAGUUUAAUAAACUAUACGAUUGACGUUACCCACAGAAUAAGCACCGGCUAACUCUGUGCCAGCAGCCGCGGUAAUACAGAGGGUGCAAGCGUUAAUCGGAAUUAUUGGGCGUAAAGCGCAUGUAGGUGGCAUAUUAAGUCUGAUGUGAAAGCCCUGGGCUCAACCUGGGAAUUGCGUUGGAAACUGAUAAGCUAGAGUCGGACAGAGGGCCGUGGAAUUUCCGGUGUAGCAGUGAAAUGCGUAGAGAUCGGAAAGAACACCAGUGGCGAAGGCGGCGGCCUGGGUCCAGACUGACACUGAGAUGCGAAAGCAUGGGGAGCAAACAGGAUUAGAUACCCCGGUAGUCC